rnacentral:sRNA from 1 species
GCUGGGUGUGGUGGUGCACACCUGUAAUCCCAACAGCUCAGGGGGCUGAGGCAAGAAGAUUGCCUAUAUAGAACCUCCCUAUUUGGAGCACCUUCUUUGACUUUU